ACACAAUAGCACAAAAUUCAAGUUAGCAUGAUAUUUUCCGAUUUGGAUCAAGUCUAAUUGGCGUUUUGCUCUUGGGUUUCCCGAAUAUCAACAGACUCGCUAUCCCCAAUACAGGCUUGGACCAUUGAGCCUCCCCUCGAGCUCACCAUCUUUAUUCCGCACCACGCCCCCGAUUGAGGUGUGAUGUGAAACUCCUACACAACACUUGCAUAGUAACAUUUUCAUCCCGUUUUACCCUCCGAUGUAUACAUAUUUUCGAAAUUAGUGGUAUAAAGGGAAUUUCUUGACAGCACUCAAUUCGGUAACCCUAAUUUUCAGGUACACGCUCUUCUUUUUUCUUCAGUUCUGUGAAUAACACAACUUACAUCCGGCGAACUCAUAAUGUAUGUAUUUGUGCUAGUAGUUGUAGGUGGGAUUUGAGCACAAUUUUCGUUGUUUCCGCAAGCUUUAGUGUUCGAGGUGGGGGGAGAAACGUUGAUGGGAAAGUGAGUACACAUAGAAAGUAGUGAUUAAGAGGAUGGGUAGAUUGCCGGCUGCAUGGGAGGCAGCGAGGGUGGAGUGCGGCGGCGGGUGAGAUGG
rnacentral:lncRNA from 1 species